rnacentral:tRNA from 1 species
GGAGAGGUGGCAGAGUGGUUGAAUGUACCGCACUCGAAAUGCGGCGUACGCUUAUACCGUACCGAGGGUUCGAAUCCCUCCCUCUCCGCCA